rnacentral:rRNA from 1 species
CUCAAAGGAAUUGACGGGACCCGCACAAGCAGCGGAGCGUGUGGUUUAAUUCGUUGCUACACGAAGAACCUUACCUGGGUUUGACAUAUAGGUUGUAGGGAACUGAAAGGGACCGACCCUUCGGGGAGCCUAUACAGGUGUUGCAUGGCUGUCGUCAGCUCGUGUCGUGAGAUGUUCGGUUAAGUCCGCUAACGAGCGCAACCCUCGUCGUAUGUUAUAUGUGUCAUACGAGACUGCCGGUAAAAGCCGGAGGAAGGUGAGGAUGAUGUCAAGUCAGCAUGACCUUUAUAUCCAGGGCUACACACACGCUACAAUGGUCUGUACAAUGGGUAGCCAAGCCGCGAGGCGGAGCCAAUCCUGAAAGCAGGCCUCAGUUCAGAUUGCAGUCUGCAACUCGACUGCAUGAAGCCGGAGUUGCUAGUAACCGCAGGUCAGCAAUACUGCGGUGAAUACGUUCCCGGGUCUU